GAAAACAGUGAGGCGGCGACUUCUCUGAGACAAGACAGAACCUACACAGUGCUUGCCUCCGGCCCCUGGGGGUGCUAUCAUUGCAUCUAAGAUUUAAGAAGAACCUUUCACAAGUAAGGAUGUGACUCAGUAGAAUGCCCGCCUAGAGUGCCCAGAUCUCCAAAUAUGGGCUCUAAGAGGAAAGCUCUGCAAAAUGUCAGCUGUUAAGAGGCCGAAGAGAAAGAAAGGCGGGCUUCGUGCUCGGGCCGGACUAGAACGCGGGUCCUGGCAGGUGCACUGAACACAGAGCAGAGGCACCCGCAGGCUGACCCAACUUUAUGCGAAGUGUUGCUGGCACACAAGUGAACCAGCAAAGAGAGAGAUGAGAAGCACCCAAACUGAGGGUCUUUAACAGUUUGUCAGAGGGUGCUGGUGUGACAGACACAGUGUGCUCGGCCAAGGAUUUGCAAAGAAGAACAUCAUUGCUGGCCUUGGGAGCUCCCUGCAGAAGGGGGUACUAGAGUCUGAGGGAUGGGGGCCGGCAGGGUGAGAGAAACUGCUUUCCACUCCCUGUGUGUUUCUGUGAUGGCGAUGUGUCAGAGAAGGCUGCAGUGGGGUUGGGGGGGGGAUGAACCAAGUCUUGGGGACACUUGGAGCUGGCAGGGUACAGUUCUGAGUUCUCUGGGUGUGCACUGGGAAUUAGGCCCUGCCUGUACCACUUAGUUAAAAGCAAGGAGGUUAAAACUCUCCACCUUCCAGCUGGAGGAACAGUCCAGAGGUUGUCAACCCUGACUGUUCUUCCAGAGCACCCAGUUUCAAAUUCCAGCACCCAACAUGGCAGCUCGAAACUGUCUGUAACUUCAAGAUCUGACACCUCCACACAGACAGGCAUGCAGUCAAAACACCAGUGCACAUAAGAUGGAAAUAAACAAAUUAUUUUAAAAAACAAAAACAAACCCUGUACCUUCAAGAGGGCAUCAGAUGUGCUGGGAGUGCUGAGGUAAGGCUAAGGAAGACCCAACCCCAUAGCCAUUCUUCCAUAGAAGCCAGAAGUCCCUGACAAGGGGGCAUCUGGUCACAGUCCCCUGUCUAUGUGACACGUGUGACAGGAAGGAUGAUGUGUCUCUGCCUGUCACUGUGGGCCUGACCCUCACUCACACUGUUGGGAAUCUGGGGUAGAAGUCUCUUCAGAAGUCACACACCCCAACCCAUCCCUCGGAAAUUAAAUGGCAGGUUGGGCUUUCCUCUCUAGGCACCAGAGCACUGGAGUUAAUCUGCAUCUGAGCAUCACGACUCAACAAAUCGCCUUCUGCAUUUGUUUUAUUGUAGACUGGUGAUUAUAAUAAAAUUAGUUCU